rnacentral:rRNA from 1 species
GGAAGGGCACCACCAGGAGUGGAGCUUGCGGCUUAAUUUGACUCAACGCGGGAAAACGUACCCGGUCAGGACACAGGAAGGAUUGACAGAUUGACAGCUCUUUCUUGAUUCUGUGGGUGGUGGUGCAUGGCCGUUCUUAGUUGGUGGAGCGAUUUGUCUGGUUAAUUCCGAUAACGAGCGAGACUCUAGCCUACUAAAUAGACGUUCCGAUCAUCUGCGUCGGACGUUCUUCUUAGAGGGACAAGCGGCGUUUAGCCGCACGAGACAGAGCAAUAACAGGUCUGUGAUGCCCUUAGAUGUCCGGGGCCGCACGCGUGCUACAUUGAAGGAAUCAGCGUGUGCUUUCCCUGUCCGACAGGACUGGGUAACCCGUUGAAACUCCUUCGUGCUGGGGAUAGGAGUUUGUAAUUGUCCUCCUUGAACGAGGAACUCCCAGUAAGCGCGAGUCAUUAUCUCGUGUUGAUUACGUCCCUGCCUCUUGUACACACCGCCCGUCGCCACUACCGAUCGAAUGAUUUAGUGAGGUCUUCGGACCGGCGCCCGAACCGGCUUUCGAGUCGGGUCGGCGUGCCAGAAAGAUGACCAAACUUGAUCAUUUAGAGGAAGUGAA